AGCUCAAAAAAAAAAAAAAGGUCUUUGGUGCAAAUACCCAGACAUUUAACUGAAAAGUGAAGGUGAGAGAGGCUAAAGCAGACAGCAGUCAGGUGUGUGCAUGUGCGUGUGUGUGUGUAAGACAUACAGCAUUUCCUUAAGCAAAUCCUAUCCUAAAGGACUGUGUAUUGUACUGUGUAUUAUGAAGGAUUGUGGAAUUGGGAGUGCUGGGGGUGGGGGUAAAUCCCAGAGGCUGGUUGACACUGGUUGACACUAUAGGUAAAUGACUCAAUGACUCCUGCAGUCCAGUGCAGGGAAGCAGUAAUGAGGAGACCACUGUCACUUGCUAAACUGGUUUUUGCUUAGCUCAGAAAAUAUCAGUAGGGAUUCACUAAGGGCUUAACAGGCACACUCAACAGGAUCCACUGUUAGAUGAAGUGUGGCACCCUGUGAUAUACUGCCCAGCUCCUGUCUGUGGCCAGAGCAGUUUCCAACACUCAUCUGCCCAGUACUGUCCGGUUUAAAAUCUACCUCAGAUGCUACACAGAACCAUGUCAACCCCCAGCACCUCACACAACCAGGCAUAGUGCUGUUGGUUUGUAAUCCUAGCACUAGGAAAGUGGAGGCAGGAAGGUCAGGAGUAAGUCAAGGUUAUCCUCAGCUACACAGAGGCCAGCCUGGUCUAUAUGAGACCCUAUCUUUAAAAACAAAAGCUAAAUUAGACCAUACAAAGUUGUCUAACAGGGCUGGGAUGAUGUUCAAAAGACCAGUGUGGCAUGCUGCUGAUGUCACUCCUGUUUCCAUUCUCUUGGCCCUCUGCAUUCCCAUAUAGCAGCCAACCAUACGUCACCACUUGCUGUCCCCCCAGUAUACCAUGUUCUGCUUCCCAUGCCUCUGAUGCUGCUCUGGGAUGCCAGUUUUCCUGCAUAAUUCCCCUCAUUGCGCUAACUGCUGCUCCUCUUCGGGGAUUUGGCUCGGAAGCCAGAACCUUUCCCAAUCCACAGCACGCUUCCCCGAACUUCUUUUCCAGCAUUGGGGCAGGUGUUAGCUCAAACAGUUUCUCCUGAAUCCUCUUUCAUUAUUCCAGGCUGGCUACAUACUCCAUCUCCCUUACCACUCGGUAAACUCCAUUCGGGCAGUGCCUUAACGGUUUAUUCUACUACUAUAUCACAGGAGUUUAGAACGGGAUAUUUACUAAAUAAAUGAAUUCCUUUGGACUCUUAUAACACAUGGAGGUUACUUACUCCUACUACAGCACUGUAUUUCCAGGGCCCCACUCCUCUAUCUACUCAGAUACCUGUAAGUCCCAUGUCUUAAGUUUGCUUUCUAUUGCUGUUAUAAAACACCAUGACUGUCGGUCCCCAGCUCCGAAAAAAAGAACCAAAAAAAAAAAAAAAAAAAAAAAAACACCAUGACUGAAAGCACCUUGGAAAGAAAGGGGUGUACUUCAUCCCACAGCUCUCAGGCCCCACUCCAUCACUGAGGGAUGAUAAGGAAGAAACCUGGAGGCAGGAUUGGAGCAGAAAUCAUGAAGAGGGGUUGGGCUUGAAUUUUCAGCAAUCUUCCUGACUCAGCCCCCAAAUACUAUGAUUAGAGGUUUGAGUCACCCUUCUUAGCUUAAAAGUAUUUGACUGAACAAAUUAAAGGGAUGAAUGAAUGAAUAUAAUAGCCUUCUGUGGCAGAGGGCAGGUCCUGUCAACACUUACAUUCAGACAGAAGAGUGAUACAUUGUGAUUAAAAAAGAAAGAACCUGGCAGCAGCUGAUCGCUAUGGUAACAGGCCAGUAGUCCUGCAAUGGCGUGCACCAGAGAGGUGGUGGGCUUCCCCGCCUCACCAGCUGAGAUUCCAGGCACCAUGCAAAGAUGUUUGCAAAGAACACAGAGGUUAAACCAGCUGCUCUAAAAGUCAGACACCUGUGUUGGUUAAGUCACCCCAGCAUCCAGGAGCUUUUAUUCGCGAUUUCAUUGCUGGGAGUAGUUUUACUUAAAUAAAUAAACAACUGGCAAUUUGCUUCUGGGGAAAAAAAGAAAGAAAGAAAGAACCUGGCCUGCUAAGAACUGACAGAGGGAGUCAGGAUGAACAACCAUGGCUUUGCCAGAUCCCAACAUCAACGUCCAGAGUCUCCAGCCAAUCCACUACCAGUUUCUCAUGGAUGAACCAAAUACGGGGGCUGCCUUGGCUUCUACUUUACGUCCUUCUGUAUUCAGAAUGCCCCACACUGGGGCCUAUGGGGCACGUAAAGAUUCCUGACCAAUAUGUGCCUCUUGCUCUAUUAGAGCAGGCUUCCUUUUUCUUCAAGUUUCUUGGAAGAAAAAAACUGUUGGUGAGCAACAGAAACAAUGAAUGAAGGCAGAUGACUCAUUUGCCAAUGCAUCUAAGAUCUAAAAUGUAUUAAUUUAAUUCAGUUUAUAGUACAAUGUAACAAUUCUUAUUUUGAUAGCCCUUUUCAUACUCUGAUGAAAAUCUGAAAAUGCCAUACAAAAAGGGAAUUUCAGAACGGUUGAAUACAGAGCCAGGUUUCCACAAUAGAGCCCACUGAUACUUUAAAGACAAAAACGCGCAGCCUCCCUUCCCCCAUCUCUUUCUGCUUCAUAAUGACGUCUUUCAGGUAUAAUCUUGCUGUUGUCAGUCUUUAACUUUCUCCCACACAGGCUGUUAUCAACAAAAAUAUGAACAUGAAAGAUGUGGGAAGCAUUUGUUUUUCUGUGCACACCUUUGAUCAUGCCAGAGAUGAAGGGAUGAGGAGCCACUCCUGCAGCUUUUAAGAACUCUGGAUUCCAGUUUUGUGAGAAAGAUGAAUAGCAUGAAUAGAGGAGCUUACACAUCUCCCCUCAGUGUUAAGGGCCCAAGUUCAACUCACCAUUAAAGCAAUGGUAUCCUGUUAGAACAGGCCUGGAACAGCAUGUGAAGCUCUGUAAUGGGUCUUCCAUCCCACCGCCCGGUCUGGUCACACUUCCGGAAGCUGUGCACAAAGAUAAAGUGUAUACACAGCAACACACAUUUCCAUUACUCACAGGGUAUACUCUUGGCAUGAAAACUAUUCUGAAUGUGGCUUCACAACACAUAUUAAAAAGCAACACUGAGGGUUGGGGAUUUAGCUCAGUGGUAGAGCGCUUGCCUAGCAAGCACAAGGCCCUGGGUUCAGUCCCCAGCUCCGGAAAGAAAGAAAAAAAAAAAAAGCAACACUGAGCUGGCGAGAAGGCUCCACGGGUAAAGGUGCUUGCCACUAAAUCUGAUGAACUGAGUUCCAUCCCCAACAGGCUCUACUUAAAAGACAAAAAAAAUUUACAACACUGGCAGAGACUAAGAGACUAUUUGGUCAAAAUAGCAGUUUGGUUCUGGGGCUGGAGAGAUGGCUCAGCAGAUAAGAACAUAUACUGCUCGUGCAGAGUUCAGUUCCCAGCACUUAUUCAAGUGGCUCACAACCCCCUGUAAGUCCAGCUCCAGGAGGAUACAGUCUUUGACCUCUUCAAGCAUCUGCACUAAUUAGUGUGCCCCCUAGUUAAAAAUAAUAAUAAAAAAUUAAAACAGUGGUGGUGCAUGCCUUUAUUCCCAUCACCCAGGAGGUAGUCUGUGAAUUUGAGGCCAGGACAACCAGGGCUGCACAGGACAGGCAGGACACCCUGCCUGGAGAAGCUGAGAGAGAGAUGGGGGUCAGGUUGAGUUUUCAAGGCUGGGCAGAUGGUUCAGAAGUUAAGAAUACUUGUUGCUCUCUAGAGAGUACGUAUAGAGGACUGGGGUUCAGGCAGCUCUCAGCACACACACAGUACCUCACAAAUGUUGGUGGCCCUAGUUCUAGGAGCUCUGAUGCCGUCUUCUCACUUCAUUGGGUGCAGGCAUGGAUCUUACAGAAUGAGGAAUUUAAAAUACUAACUGUCCGAGCACAGUGAAGAGGUGGAUCUAACUAUGACGCUCUGAGCACCAGGACUGGCGUACAACAAGCCUAGG
rnacentral:sRNA from 1 species